rnacentral:rRNA from 1 species
UACAGAGGUCUCAAGCGUUGUUCGGAUUCAUUGGGCGUAAAGGGUGCGUAGGUGGCGCCGUAAGUCGGGUGUGAAAUUUCGGAGCUUAACUCCGAAACUGCAUUCGAUACUGCGGUGCUUGAGGACUGGAGAGGAGACUGGAAUUCAUGGUGUAGCGGUGAAAUGCGCAGAUAUCAGGAGGAACACCAGUGGCGAAGGCAGCACUCUGGGACGGUACUGACGCUGAGACGCGAAAGCGUGGGGAGCAAACAGG